GAAAUGCGAUAAGUAAUGUGAAUUGCAGAAUUCAGUGAAUCAUCGAAUCUUUGAACGCACCUUGCGCUCCUUGGUAUUCCUUGGAGCAUGCCUGUUUGAGUAUCAUGAAAUCUUCAAAGUAAAUCUUUUGUUAACUCAAUUGGUUUCUACUUUGGUAUUGGAGGUCUUUGCAGCUUCACACCUGCUCCUCUUUGUUCAUUAGCUGGAUCUCAGUGUUAUGCUUGGUUCCACUCGGCGUGAUAAGUUAUCUAUCGCUGAGGACACUGUAAAAGGUGGCCAAGGAAAAUGCAGAUGAACCGCUUCUAAUAGUCCAUUGACUUGGACAAUACUUUUAUGAUCUGAUCUCAAAUCAGGUAGGACUACCCGCUGAUCUUAAGC
rnacentral:misc_RNA from 1 species